ensembl:lncRNA
GCAAAGUGCCUGCCUCCCGCGGCACGCACAGGAAGCAGGGACCCGGCUCUGAUGAAACGGCUCAACGUGGAGGCUUGUUCUUCAGCGUCAAAGUGAGCCGUCCAAGAAAAGGCUCUCCUGUCUGGCUCGGGAAGGUCUCUUGGAACGGCCGCCAGAUCUGUCAUGGGAAACCGAGACAAACGCGGGCCUUGGCUUUGGGUGCUACUGAUUGGGCCAGGCCCACCCAGGUUAUCGAGGGUGAUGUCCUCUGCUGAGAGCCAGCUCAUUGCAGCUAGUGACCACGUCUGCUGAAUUUCUUCACAGCAGCAUUUGGACUCGUGUUGGGUUGAAUCACUGGGGAUUAUAGCUUAGGCAGGCGGCCUCGACCCACUGGCCAUCACAGGAACGACAUCUCUCACGAGGUUGGAGAAGGUGGUGAGCAUUUUGGGAAAUUAAGUACGGGAAAAUGACUCGCAGGAGGGAUUCCUGUCAUCUCCAAGAGUACCGGAUGUGUCAUGGUUGUCUCACUACAUUGACACCACCAGCCACAAGCCUGCACCUACACACCGGCUCUGCCCUCCACCCUGCGUGGCUGUGUCAUUCUGAACAGCCCAGCUCUGGGAGGGAGAUCCCAUCUCCUUCCCACAUCCCCGAUGAGGAAGCACAGCCUGCUGUGUGCACACAUCGCUGGGCAUGGAGAGCUGCCCAAUCUCUAGUGCUGGAAAGUGCCCGCGGCCCCACAUGGCAUCUCUCGCCCACGGCGUUUGGGAGGAACCCAAAAGUGAGGAUGAAGCCCGUCCUUAAUCCUCUGGGGAAGUCUGUCUCGGCCUCUUUGCUGUGGGAGACAACCUCCCCACUUUUGCUCUGGGAGCCAGGUCUUCUCCGGCGAUGGAGUGCUGGCUGCCAAAACAGCGCACUCCACGGACUGCCUUCUGGAUCUAACAGCUUGCUCUUGCUCGGUGGGACCACCUCAGGCAUCCGCUGGCACCUGCCCAGGUGA